AAUUCUGGCAAAGAGGUUCUGAGAAAACGCUUUGAGACAACAGUGGUUAACACACUGUUCUGCCCGAAAACACAGCAGAAACAGAUGCUAGAGAUCUGUGACAGCUGCAUUUGGGAGGAGACCGUCAGGGAAGUGAGAGACUCCCAUUUCUUUUCCAUUACCACUGAUGACGUAGUGGACAUAGCAGGGGAAGAACACUUGCCUGUGUUGGCGAGGUUUGUUGUUGAAUCUCAUAACCUGAGAGAGGAAUUUGUGGGCUUCUUGCCUUAUGAAGCUGAUGUAGAAAUUUUGGCUGUAAAAUUUCACACGAUGGUAACUGAGAGGUGGGGGUUAAACAUGGAGUAUUGUCGUGGCCAGGCUUACACUGUGUCCAGUGGAUUUUCUUCCAAAAUGAAAGUCGUUGCUUCUAGACUUUUAGAGAAAUAUCCCCAAGCUGUCUACCACUUUGCUCUUCCUGUGCCUUAAAUGUGUGGUUGGUAAAAUCAGUGCUUGUUGUAGGAGUAUCUGUUGCAUUAGGAAAAAUUGAGGAAGUUUCUUCUUUCUUCCAUCGAUCUCCACAACAGCUUUUAGAGCUUGACAAUGUAAUUUCUGUCCUCUUUCAGACAGUGAGGAAAAGGGUAAAGAACUGAAGGAAAUCUGCCAUUCUCAGUGGACAGGCAGGCAUGAUGCUUUUGAAAUUUUAGUGGACCUCCUAUAAGCACUUAACAUGUUUAGAUGGUAUAAAUAGUGAUACAAAUAUUAGACGGAAUAACUAUGUAGCUGGUCGAACUUUUGUACUCUGUAGUGAAGUAACAAAUUUUGAUUUCAUCGUUACCAUUGUUUUUCUUAAAAAUGGCCUAUCUUUUACAAGAGCUUUUGGGAAAAAUCUCCAAGGGCAAACCUCUGAUAUCUUCUUUGCAGCCAGUAGUUUGACUGCAGUGCUGUAUUCACUAAAUGAAGUGAUGGAAAACAUUGAAGUUUAUCAUGAAUUUUGGUUUGAAGAAGCCACAAAUUUGGCAACUAAACUUGAUAUUCAGAUGAAACUCCCUGGGAAAUUCCGCAGAGCCCAGCAAGGUAACCAGGAAUCUCAGCUCACCUCUGAGAGUUACUAUAAAGAAACUCUAAGUGUUCCAACAGUGGAACACUUUAUUCAGGAACUGAAAGAUAUAUUCUCAGAACAGCACCUCAAAGCUCUUAAAUGCUUAUCUCUUGUACCUUCUGUCAUGGGACAGCUCAAAUUUAAUACAUCAGAGGAGCACCAUGCUGACAUGUACAGAAGUGAUUUGCCCAAUCCCAACACACUCUCAGCUGAGCUGCAUUCCUAGAGAAUCAAGUGGAAACACAGAGGGAAAGAUAUAGAGCUUCCAUCUACCAUUUAUGAAGCCCUGCAUCUACCAGACAUCAAGUUUUUUCCUAAUGUUUAUGCAUUGCUGAAAGUCCUAUGUAUUCUUCCUGUGAUGAAGGUUGAGAAUGAACGCUAUGAAAGUGGGCGAAAGCGUCUCAAAGCAUACCUAAGGAACACUUUGACCCACCAAAGGUCAAGUAACUUGGCUUUGCUUAACAUAAAUUCUGAUAUAAAACAUGAUCUGGAUUUAAUGCUGGACACAUAUAUCAAACUCUAUACAACUAAGUCAGAACUUCCUACAGAUAACUCAGAAACCAUUGAAAUACCUGAGACUUUUAAAGUAGGCUUUCUCUUACGUUUGAUAUUUGGAAAAAUCUGUAAGAAAUUUGAAAACAUCUUACAGAAAAGCUGUCAGGUGUAUGUAGGCCACUUAAUCAUUGAAUAUCUUGACUUAUCGACCUCUCAUUGA